UUAACGACAAAUUUUCUCGUUAUUACGAGAUACUUUCUUGUUAAAAUUAGAAAACUUCCUCGUUAAAACGUGAUUUAUAUCACAGUGGCAGAAGGAAACCACUUGACAUUGUGCAAUCAGCGACACGAUGGACUCUUGAAGGAAGACUGGUCAAUGUUCCAGAUGAAGGCAGGAGUGAGGAAGCAUUUCCCCACACCAGUGAAGGAAGGAUCCCAUCCUGAGAAAACUGAUUGUCAUGAUGUGAAGGGUGGAGAUGGUGGACCAAGUGUGGUGGAGGGUUCCAGGAGGCAGAAGAGCAGGCACGGAUGGCCCCGACCACCCUGAAACAGCUAGGAUGCGCCGGAAUCUCCCAGAGGGCUCGACCACCCCGAGAACAGGUAGGAUGCGCUGAAAAACCAAAAACUCCAGGCUGAAAUCUCCCUCCGCUGAAAGGGACAAAAAGAAAAAAUAAUCCUCCAGAAACAGAAUGGUAAGCUCACCACAGGUCUAGGUUGGUCGGAUCAUUCUGUCAUGAUGUGAAGGGUGGAGACGGUGGACCAAGUGUGGUGGAGGGUUCCAGGAGGCAGAAGAGCAGGCACGGAUGAAAUAAAAAUGGGUUUAAUAGCAACAGGGAGCGACAGGACAAAACGAGACAUGCACAUACACAAACAUCCGACAAAGGACAGGAGAAAACAGGUGGUAAAAAUACACAAGGCUAAUUAGGAAAACAUGGGCAGGUUAACGAGGGACAGGUGAGAACAAUAUGGACUAAUCAGGGCAUGAGAGAGACAGUCAGGAGGGCAGGGGCAGAUCGUGACACUGAUAAACUCUUUUUCAAGAGUUUCAGAUUACUCUAUAAACUGGUUAAAAUCCACAGUUCUACCAAUUAAUUUCUCUUUUGUCAAUUUGCUUAAUACACAAUUGAAGUCAGGGUAUAUCACAUAUGUCUCUCCCAAGUUAGCAGAUCUGACCAAACUAAACUACAUCCCACUUUUAAAGAAAGUGGAAGAUGAUCUUGCAAGAUGGAAAUCCUUACCAAUAUCACUCAUGGGGAGGGUUGCUACAGUUAAAAUGAUGGUCUUACCCAGAAUAAAUUACUUUUAAAUUACUUAUUCUCGAUGGAUAUAAUUAAUUUUACUUGUAAAAAAAUUCCAUAAAGUUAUUGCUGCUGAGGGCUAAGGGAAUAGAUGGCUCAGAGCUAUGAUUCUGUGUAAGUUUAGCAACUGUACUGAAAAGAAUUUUAGGAUUAUUCUUAUUCUCCUCAAUUAACGCUGAAAAAAAAGCACUUCUAGUUUGUUGAAGCUAAUUUUUAUAAAGCACAAGACUAUUUUUCCAGGAUAAGUAGGACUCCUCAUGGUACGUAGAGCGCCAUGUUCUCUCCAAUUUCCUAGUUUUGUUUUAAGGCUCGUAAAUGAGAAUUAAACCAGGGAGCCGGCUUCCUGUCCCUAAUUACCUUCUUUUUUAAAGGGGCACCGUCAUCUAAUGCCACACGUAAAGAGGAAUUAACAUGAUGAACUAAGGCAUCAAUUUGUGAGGGGUUAGAACUGAGAAUAUUGCCCUCUGCUACAGGCCUCUGAGAUGCUGAGGACAGUAAAGAUGGAACUGAUUUAAAAGAUGCAACUGCGUUGUCAGAUAGAGACCGA
ensembl:lncRNA